rnacentral:lncRNA from 1 species
CCUGUUGAACAAAAAAUCCUGUCAGUCACAAACACACUUGUCAAUGCAAGUUUUAUGCCUUACCCAAUUCAAAUGUGAACUAGCUAGAAUAUAAAGUAUAAUUGCAAGGAUAACAUGUUCACUAGUUAGAUUGGAUAUAUUAUGUUAAAGAGCUAAAAUAAUCUGUACUCAUUGCCAGGUAUCGAUGCAAGUUAACUAGCAAAGAUAGUGACUGCACGGAAAUAUUUUGUUAAACUCUCCGACCCUACAGUAACUACACAUAAUAUUACUAUGCCUGCAAGAACUAGGAUCAACAGUUAAUACGGUGCUACUCCCUCCAUCCCAAAUUACUAUUCAUUUUAGCUUUUCUAGAUACUCAUUCCG